UUUCUAGUUACACAUUGUGAGAGAUGAAUUGAUAGACAUUCCUGGACAAUGCGCUCACUGUGAAAAUGAGUUGAAAUGCUGGUCUUGUGGUUAAAAGAGCUGCGAAGUGUUUAGCUCUUUGCAGUCAAUGCCAUCACUCAACACUGUCCCUCAGCAACAUCUCUACAUCCUUAUCUCUUUCUGUGACAUGGCAGCCACUUUGGAUUGUCAGGAGAGGUGCCUCUUAUCUGCAGAGUUCAGAAGAUUUCCGUGAGAAUCCCUCAAGAAAUGCCUAAAAAGCAGCCUUGGAAUGGAGUCGAAAUCCCACAGGAAUUAUCUGCUAGAGGUAUCCUGUAUCUAUGAGGUCUGGAGAGCACCCUUUGUGUCUGUUCUGCAGGUGAGGGCUCUGAAUGCGAACAACAAACACAUGCUUUGCUUGUUUUCCUCCUCCUGUUACAUCUGGAAAAUCUACCUUCAACUAGUAGACUUCUUUACGAACAGCUGGCAGGUAGAUGGGGGUCUUGAGGUUUGGCAGUCACAGAGUAAAGGUGACAGGACAACAAAGGGCCGAGCGAGCAGACUCUCUUUGGAGUCAGGUAUCAAGAGGAUAACCACCGCGGUGUCAAAGGGAGCCACCGCUGGCCGACACAAAAGAACGACUGACACCAGAAAAGAGGGAUGGAGUUUCAGAGCUCAGGCAUGAAAAGGAAAACAUCAUUCUCCGUCUGUUCUGUUCACAGGCAGCGAAAGAACUCGGGCCUCUUAUGCGGGUCAUGCUGUAACACCGCUAGGAGAAUUUGCAAUGAUGGUAUACUCUGAAACGGGUGCAAUAGUGAGUGAUUGGAUCCAUUUGUGUCUCUUUUAAUUGAAAGAGGCCAUUCUUUUUUUUCUUCUUCUUUUUUUGAUGAGUCAAAGGUCAAGGAUGAAUCGGUGAAGAAACCAAAACCAAAACAACACUUGUCAGCACUUUUAUCGCAGCUGAGCUGCUUUGUGUUUGCGGGUGGCUGAAGCAGCCCAGAGGCAAGCUUUGGAAUCACGCCGGGCUUGUGUUGCCCCCAUCGCGCAUGUCUUUUGUGUGCGGGGAGGUUAUCUGUCGACUUCUUUCAAAGGUAUGGGACAGACAAUAGGCUUUCGUGCCAUGAGAAGAGAGUGUAGGAUUCUGGGUCCCUCCCUGAGCAUGCAAGACUUGCUUCAUGAACGCAGCUCAAAGGAAUGAGAUCUCCACCUCCUCCAAGACUGGAUUAGCAUAGACGCACAUGUACACAACACAUAUGCACGGCAGUGGGGAUCAUAAUAGGUCUAAUUUGUUUGUUUACGAUGCUUUGUUGCCAAUGGCUGAUUGUAACCACAACACACGAGCUAAUCAGACACUUUCUGUUGAAAGUCAUGCCAUACCAGCAUACAAGUCAGGUGUGGCGCUUUAAAAUAUGAUUUGACAAUAGAAUUAUGUGUUAAUCUAAGAUGAGAAAUGUGCGUACAUUGAUGUAAUGCCUCCAUCUUCAAAUUGAAAAGGCCAGCUUCUCAAGCGUCUUGUUAGUAGGAAACAUUUAAAUGACUGCAAUUAUCCAUUUGCCAAUCAAAACCUCCACUAACUAUGUGCUGAGAAACCAUGACUCACAGAACAUUUGUCAGAGAAAGAUUUACAUUUUGGCCUGAGGCUUCUACGGUUUGCUUCAGAUGGUCCAAGCUAAAGCUCCCUUGAAUUUUUCAGAUUGAAUUGCAUUUAGAACAUUUGUCUUGGCUGCCAACUCCAGAAAAUAAAUAGAAAAACACAACUCCAAAACCCCCGGCCUGUGCUUUAUCACUCACAAGGCCCGGCUGUCCGUCAGACUGUGUGUUUUACAUUUCGCUUGAACGGUUUGCGUGUCAUAGCUAGCCGACUCGUUAAGUUAUCGACCGGUUUUGAGCCUGGAGGGGGAUUCUCUCAAUUUGCUUGGUGACCGCUGGAACAGCAGUGCAAAUCUAAUUUGGAGAUUCAGGAGAACGCUAUACCCUUCGCAUACCGCCAAGAACAUGGAGCCAGACCCUCAAAACAAUUAAUUAUGGGUCAUAACCUGAGAGGGUCGGCAUUCCUGAUGGCUGCAGACGGUGUUAGAUAUUCCUCAGCUGUGCUGUUGGAGGAAACGACUGGGAGAAGGGAUUCGUUCCAACAUCACAAAUUUCUAAAAACAUCAUGAAUUUUGUACAUAAAAAAGCGAUCUGUCUAUGAUCUUACCUAAAUCAGACUGACUGACAGAUUAUACAGCUUGGUAUUCGUAUUUAUAGGCAUCGAGUCAAAUCAAACAUCAGUGGCCAAAAACACUGAAGAUUUAUGUUUGCCGCUUUGUCCCAAAAAUUUAUUUCAACGUCAGUUCUCUCAAAGAGCAGAUGUUUUCAUUUCUAAUCCGCCCCUCUUUUUUUGCAGAACAGCAAAUUACUAAAUAAACUCUCAUUUCACAUAGGAAAUAUAGCGGUUUAAGGGUUUGUGACCUAAUGUUGUCAAUCCUAAGUAGCUAAACUCACCGAAUGACUGAUUAAUGCGAUCUGUUUAAUAAGUUUGAACCUCGUUGUAACCCCAAAUGAGGCCUAUUACUUAAACGACUUGAUUUGCUCACUAAUUGUGUCAGUGUCUUGGAAGCCUGGGCUGAUCUAAAAUUUCGCUUUGAUUUAUCGCUGAAUCAAACACGUGUAACAUGAGCAGAAAUACCAGCGCUAAUCACAAUCAAUCACACAAAUGUAGUUUGAAUCAAUCAAACACAAAUGUUGCAUAAUUGGUUUCACAUUUCCAAUCAAAGAUAAUCGUUCAAGCUGUUUUCCCCACAUACAACAGAGGCGCGCUGAAAUAUCUGAGGCGACACUGCGGUGUAAAAUAUGCAGAUAACCAUUUUAUUAAAAUGCUUAAUGCAUUGGAGCAGUGACAUAUUUUAUACAGCCUUUCGAUACUAUAAAAGAUGUUGGUGACCCUUUAUUUCAAUGGUCUCCUUUAGACGCUCUGUUAACUUGCUAACUGUGAAAUGUCAUCUGGCAGUCAUUAGAUUACUGAAUAUCUGUGAACACUUAUUUUGAUGGUCCCCUAACCACGACUUCACAAGUAAUAAGCUUAUUCUACUAACCCAAUACUCUUUGUGUUUUUGCUGUUCGUUUAUUGGACGAUGCUAUUUUGGCCUUAAAAUUUACCUUUUUAAUAACUUUUUUUUAUUUUUUAUUUUUUGUAAUUUAAUAACUUUGUUAAAAUAAAACCAAUAUAACUGUAUUACACAGAC
rnacentral:lncRNA from 1 species